rnacentral:rRNA from 1 species
UAAUACAGAGGGUGCAAACGUUGCUCGGAAUGAUUGGGCGUAAAGCGCGUGUAGGCGGCCUGUUAUGCCGGUUGUGAAAGCCCGUGGCUCAACCACGGAAGUGCAGUCGGAACUGACAGGCUAGAGUGCCGAAGAGGGUGGCGGAAUGACCAGUGUAGAGGUGAAAUUCGUAGAUAUUGGUUAGAACACCGGUGGCGAAGGCGGCCACCUGGGAGGUUACUGACGCUGAGACGCGAAAGCGUGGGGAGCAAACAGGAUUAGAUACCCUGGUAGUCCACGCCGUAAACGAUGAACACUAGGUGGUGCGGGUAUUGACCCCUGCAGUGCCGACGCUAACGCAUUAAGUGUUCCGCCUGGGGAGUACGGCCGCAAGGCUA